AAAUCUCAUAAAUUCCCUCAAGAACCCUCCCACGUUCACUUUGUUUGUGUAAACUAUUUUUAUUUGUAUCCGCCUGUUUAGUUAAGCCUUUUCAACUGAUUUUUUUAGUCUGCUCUUAUGUUGUACUGUAACACAACUGUCCCAGGUUUAGGGGAGUUGAACGCCAUCUUACAUGUUUAACAUCGCUACAUUCUGUAUUUGCCUAGGCCUGACCCAUGUCACGGGAGCCUGCAGUUCAAUGAUGGUCGUGAGUUACUGUGUUACAUAUUUGCUAUUUGUUCUUUUUUGUACAUAAAUAAAGCCAUAAGUUGACUUGUUCGAAUUUUGUUACAUUUGUCUUUUCUUUAAUAGCAGACUAUGCAGUGUUGGCAUUGCUCACUGUUAAAGGCCGAAUGGUAACCUGAUAAAUUUUAAUUUCUAUGUCAUUUGGUUUCAUGUAGAGAGUUAUCUCAUUGACACUCGUACUACAUCUUCCUAUUAUUAUAUAUAUGUUCAUGACGAGAAGCAUGCCACAUGCCAUCUAUUGACCACCGUCAAAGAGUUGGUACAAGGGUUAUCAAAGUACAAAGAGCAAGGAAUAGUCUCUACACGAGACAUCUGAUUAGACGACCCCAUUCUGACCGGACGUGGAUGCGUACUUGUACAUCCCGCACAGCAAAAUGGAUGCCCCACUUUUGCUACGGUUUUCGGGGAGGUAGUCCAAUGUACCAUUUUUUUCCAAUCCCCAGUCACUCUUGGCGGUCUUGAAAUGUAGUGGUUUGGUUGAUUAGG
rnacentral:lncRNA from 1 species